rnacentral:pre_miRNA from 1 species
UAAAAGUUUUUUAUUUGUAUGGAAUUAGAACAGUGCCUACGUUUGCCGCUAGGGGCGCUGUUCCAACUACGUACAAAUUUGAGUUA